rnacentral:rRNA from 1 species
GACGGGGGCCCGCGACAAGCGGUGGAGCAUGUGGUUAAUUCGAUGAUACGCGAGGAACCUUACCUGGGCUCAAAUGUAUGUUGACGUAUUCUGAAAGGGAUACUUCUUCGGACAAUAUACAAGGUGCUGCAUGGUUGUCGUCAGCUCGUGCCGUGAGGUGUCGGGUUAAGUCCCAUAACGAGCGCAACCCCUAUCAUUAGUUGCCAUCAGGUCAAGCUGGGGACUCUAAGGAGACUGCCGGUGACAAACCGGAGGAAGGUGGGGAUGACGUCAAGUCAUCAUGGCCCUUACGGCCUGGGCUACACACGUGCUACAAUGGUCGGUACAAAGGGUUGCCAAGCCGCGAGGUGGAGCUAAUCCCAUAAAACCGAUCGUAGUCCGGAUCGCAGUCUGCAACUCGACUGCGUGAAGUCGGAAUCGCUAGUAAUCGUGAAUCAGAAUGUCACGGUGAAUACGUUCCCGGGCCUU